rnacentral:lncRNA from 1 species
UCUAAAGGUUUAUCAACCACAUCCUUUAAUUGCGUCUAGGCCUUCCCACCUUCUUUUUCCCAUUUGCUUGAACAAUUUGUGCAUCCUUUGUUUUAACAUUCUCCCUAGGAUCAACCUGUUUUGAAAUAUUGCUUUAUUCACCAAUAUUUUUAGCCUUGAAAUUCACCUGCACAUCAACAUUCUCCUCUGAACUUUUCUCUACAUCAAUUCUUUCCAAACUCUCAAAACCAGAACCAGAUGCAUUCGGCUUCACCUUAGUGGUCUCAGUACUAAUACCUGUAUUCUUUUAGAAAUAAGUGAGGGUAUAAUGGGGAGGAAAAAUCCAUUAUGAUUCCCCCAACAACUCGAAAUUCAAUUCCCACCUAAAUGUAGGGAAUUCAAUUCCUCCAAAUUUUGAAGUUGGAUUCCAAAAUUUGCGUGGAUUCCACCAACUUUUUUAUUCCCAAUAUUUGGUAAAUACUAAAGUAUCCUAUAAUCAAAAUUUAAUUCCGCAUUUUGAUUCCGAUUACCUUUACAUAAACGUGCCUUAAGCAAUCCGUACACCUUAUGGAGAAGAACACAUUCAUUAGAACUUCCUAAUACUCUCAAUUUUAGUAAUUAUAUGUACAAAUUGUUUGAGUUUCGCUCUAACUUCCUUUUAUUCAUGUCAUGAUGUCCACAUAAAUGACUUACGAACGUAUUACACAUCAUGUGAUUUACAAAAAGCUGAUUUUUUAAGGUGAAUUCCAUGAUUGAUGGGGAAGAUGUAAAACAACCAACAUUAUGAUUCAUAAGGUGCCACACAGCCUUGUGGUCCACAAGUAAAAGAGAGGCACAUUAUUUUUGGUGGGUCAAUUAGGGCACGGAAGCAACUGAAAGCCACACUAAAAGAAGAAAAGGUAAUGUCCUAAUUAAAAGAAGUUAUUUGAAGAAAAAGAAAUGAAAUAAAGCAAGAGAAAGUUAGGUCUUACUUGGCACAUUCUUAGUGAGUAAGAAAUUGAGCCUAGAAUCUAGAUGACAAGGAUAUGGAUUUGUAUCUGUGUUUGCCACCUGGACUGUGGAAGUCAAGUACCAAUAAUUUAUCUUAAUAUGUUUUUUUUUUUUUUAAUUUUAAAGGACAUCUGGUAGCAAGCUCUGGUUAUCUAUUCAUUCCAAGCCAAGAGAGCCUAUAGAGAAUUUCUUUCUGUCCGUGACCAUAGUCAAGCAAAUUCACCAACUUGGGGCACCGAACUCGAGAUCUCCCAUAAUUUUUUGUUUAUUGGGAAGCCGUAGUCCGCGCCCUUACUACUGUGUUACUUAUUGUGAUUAUUUAUCUUAAUAUGUUCAUUUGAAGUAUAAAUAAAAGAUAUAUAUGUUAAUAUGUUGAUUUAGAUAUUUCAGACAUAUGAUGUUGUUAGAUUAAUAUCAAGUAAAAUUUUAUUUGAAUGUACUUUCUUAGCACUGGACACAUCUAACAGAUCAUUUCUUCUUUUCUGUU